UCCAACUUUUCAAACAUGAUUUUUUUUAAAUUUCAUAGCAAAAAACAUAACAAAAAUUGACAAAAUGUUAAGCUUCAUGUUUCUAUACAAUCUGUUGUAACAUGUUUUUUUGUUGAACAUAUGGCAUCAUUCUUUUUUCUACCUACCUUAAUCAACUUUAGGAUCACGGCCAAACAUUAGAAAGUAAAUAAAAAACCUUUUAACUUGAACAUUAGAUCAUUGAGCAUUAUCAAUCAAAAAAUAUCGAAUUCUCAAGUGCGGACAUAAACAAUGAUUUUUUUUAACUACGAGGUUAACUAUAUAGUUUUCGAAAUAAAAUUUGUACCAACAGAAAGCAAAAAUGCCACCGAAACGUAAAGCAAUUGGAAGAUCAUCAGCAAAAGGUCGGCAAAUCAAAAUUGCACGUGCUGCCGAAACACAAAUGAACCGAUCACAGCGCAUGGAGGAUGAUCGGAUACGCCAUCAGGAGGCAAGAGUUUCUGAAUCCGCUGACCAGCGCAUCAUGAGAUUAACGAAUGAUCGGCUGCGGCAUUCAGUAGACCGUUCAUCUGAGUCGCCUGAACAGCGAGGUCUCAGGUUGAAUGCUGACCGUGAGCGUCAUGAGAACACACGUUUUUUUGAAACAGCUGAUGAACGAGUCGCCAAGAUUGCAACGGAACGGGUUCGUGCUUUUCAGUCAAGGCAUAACCAUGCUGAUUUGAAGCUUAGCGCGUUGAACUAUGAUCAUGAGUUGGAUUAUGAUCUGCACCCAUGUGUGAACAUAGGAAUCAUGGAUGUUCAAUGCAUUUUUUGCAAAGCACUCAAGUUCAAAAAAGAACCGCCAGGAAUGUGCUGUGCAAAUGGGAAAGUGAAGCUACCAGAGUUAAGCCUACCUCCAGAACCUCUAUCAGCAUUGCUGUCAGGCAGCACAAACAAAUCGAAACAGUUUUUGAAACAAAUUCGUAAAUACAAUUCCUGUUUCCAAAUGACAUCUUUCGGGGCAACUAAUGUUGUUCACAACAAUUACGCGUCUACAUUUAAAGUGCAAGGACAAAUAUACCAUAGAGCAGGAUCUCUGUUACCAAUGCCAGAUUCGGAUCAUCGAUUCCUACAAAUAUAUUUCAUGGGAGAUACUGAACAACAGAUUAAUCAGCGUUGCCGAUAUAAUAUCGAUGCAGAUCGAGAAAUUAUUCGUGAACUUGAAUCUUUUUUCCAACAUCAUAAUGAGUUGGUCAAAUUGUUUAGAACAGCACUGGAACAAAUGCCAAAUGAUAACUUUUCAAUUGUUAUAAGAGCAGAUAAAAGACCCACUGGCCAGCAUGAAAGGCGAUACAAUGCUCCUACAAUUAAUGAAGUGGCAAUCAUCAUAGUUGGUGAAGAAUUCCAAUCACGUGAUAUCAUUCUUCACCGUAGAAGUGGAAAUAUUCAACGUGUUUCAGAAACGCAUCGAUCAUAUGAUGCAUUGCAAUAUCCGAUUAUAUUUUGGCAAGGUCAAGAUGGAUAUCAUUUCAAUAUCAAAAUGAUAAAUCCUCAGACAGGUGCUGAUACUAACAAAAAAGUAAGUGCCAUGCACUAUUAUGCUUACCGGAUGAUGAUUCGUCAUAAUAUUGAUAAUCACAUUCUAAGAUGCCGAGCACUUUUUAAUCAGUAUAUCGUUGACAUGUAUGCCAAAAUAGAGACAGAACGACUACUUUAUAUUCGACUAAAUCAGAGCAAGUUACGUUCUGAAGAGUACAUCCACCUUCGUGAUGCUGUUCGAAGUGAUGGUAAUUUUAAUCCCGAGGAUUUUGGAAAAAGAGUUGUACUACCAGCCACGUUUACCGGUAGUCCGCGGCAUAUGCACGAAUAUGCUCAAGACGCGAUGGCAUAUGUUCGUGCCUAUGGCCGACCAGAUCUUUUCGUAACAUUCACGUGUAAUCCUAAAUGGAACGAAAUCAAAGACCUACUGUUAGCUGGACAGUCAACAUCUGAACGUCACGACAUAUUAGCACGUGUUUUUAAGCAAAAGUUGAAGGCAUUGAUGGAUCUUAUAGUAAAACAUCAAGUUUAUGGAGAAACAAGAUGUUGGAUGUAUUCUGUAGAGUGGCAGAAAAGAGGGCUACCGCAUGCGCAUAUUUUAAUCUGGCUAAUCGAUAAAAUAAGACCUGACCAAAUCGAUAAAGUAAUUUCAGCAGAAAUACCUGAUAAAAACGUAGACCCAGGAUUAUUUGAAGUAAUAUGCAAAAACAUGAUUCAUGGGCCAUGUGGAAUACUCAAUAUCAAUUCCCCUUGCAUGGUUGACGGAAAGUGUACCAAACGGUUCCCGAAACUUUUCGUUUCUAAUACAAUUACUGGCAAUGACGGGUACCCACUUUAUCGUCGCCGAUCAAUCGAAAACGGUGGUCGAUCAGUUACUGUUAACAAUAUCGAUAUUGAUAAUCGUUGGAUCGUUCCGUAUUCACCAUUGCUAUCAAAAAUAUUUAAAGCACAUAUAAACGUGGAGUAUUGCAAUUCAGUCAAAUCAAUAAAAUACAUAUGUAAAUAUGUCAAUAAGGGUAGUGAUAUGGCUGUUUUUGGAAUGGAAAACACUUCAGAAUCGAUUGACGAAAUUAGCCAGUAUCAUCUUGGCCGUUAUAUUAGCAGUAAUGAAGCAGUUUGGCGUAUCUUAUCAUUUGCAAUACAUGAGCGAUAUCCAACGGUGACACAUUUGGCAGUCCAUUUAGAGAAUGGACAACGUGUGUACUUCACAUCUUCUAAUGUUCGUGAGAGAGUAUUGACGCCACCAUCAACAACAUUAACCGCGUUUUUUUCACUGUGCCAAAAUGAUACAUUUGUUAAAACACUUCUUUACUCCGAAGUGCCAAGGUUUUAUACAUGGAAUGCAUCUUCAAAGAAAUUCCAGCGUCGUAAACAAGGAAAAGCAGUUGAAGGACAUAACAACGUAUUUUCCAGUAAUGCUCUAGGCCGUCUAUACACUGUGCAUCCAAAUAAUGCAGAAUGUUUUUACUUGAGAUUACUACUUAUCAAUGUUCGUGGACCAACAUCUUUCCAAGAAUUAAAAACGGUGAAUGAUCGUUUAUGCGCGACUUACCGUGAAGCGUGCCAAGAUAGGAACCUUCUGGAAAACGAUUCACAUUGGGAUACCACUAUCGAUGAUGCAGUAAAUACUGCACAUCCCCAGCAGAUUUGCACAUUGUUCGCCAUUAUAUUAUCCUCUUGCUUUCCAUCCAAUCCUACAAAUCUUUGGGAAAAGUACAAAGAUCAUAUGAGUCAAGAUUAUUUACAUCGUUUACAAAAUGCGCAGCAAAAUCCAACUAUUGAAUUUUCUGAAAACGUAUACAACGAGGCGUUGGUAUCAAUCGAAAACAUGUGUCUAUCAAUGAUAAACAAAUCUUUAACACAGUUGGGAAUGCCUGCACCAAACCGAAUUGCCUGUAACUUUUCCGAUUCGAUUCAGCAAUCACAGCACAUUGACGAACUAAAAAGUUAUGUUCGAACAAGACUUCCACAGCUGAACGAAGAUCAGCGGAAAGUUUAUAACAAAAUUAUGCACGCAGUGGUUAACCGAAACGGCGGAUUUUAUUUCCUAGAUGCGCCUGGUGGUACAGGUAAAUCCUUUUUAAUUAAAAAAAAUUAAUAAUAAUAGAUUUUUUUUCUGUGCAGGUAAAACUUUUUUAAUAUCAGUUAUUCUGGCAUCGAUAAGAUCACAAAACCAAACAGUAUUGGCAAUCGCGUCAUCAGGGAUAGCUGCAACUCUUUUAGACGGUGGUCGAACAGCACACUCCGCGUUAAAGUUACCGUUAAAUUUGCAAACAACUGAAGCCCCAACAUGUAAUAUAAGCAAAAACUCAGAAAUGGGCCGCUUUCUUCAAACUUGCCGUCUUAUAAUAUGGGACGAGUGCACAAUGGCUCAUAAAAAAGCUUUAGAAGCACUGAAUCGGACGCUUAAAGACCUGAGAUCAAAUGAUCUGCUGUUUGGUGACAGUUUGAUAUUAUUAUCCGGAGACUUCCGCCAAACGCUACCAGUUAUACAAAAAUCUACACCUGCGGAUGAAAUCAAUGCAUGUCUUAAGUCCUCUGCUUUAUGGACGUACGUGCAAAAACUUACUCUAACAAAGAAUAUGCGUGUAGCGUUGCAGCAAAAUGUGUCCGCUGAUACAUUCUCAAAACAACUUUUAGACAUGGGAAACGGAAAACUACCCAUAGAUCAAACAAAUCAAAUUACGUUCCCAAGAAAUUUUUGUAAAAUGAUGAAUUCGAAAGAUGAACUGAUUGCAAGUGUUUUCCCUGACAUAGAAAAUAGUUAUAAAAACCAUGAGUGGCUAAGUGAGCGUGCUAUAUUAGCGGCAAAAAACCUAGACGUUAAUGAUAUCAAUUCAAAAAUUCAAAACAAAAUUCCAGGCGAGUCUACCACAUAUAAAUCAUUCGACACCGUGAUCAAUCCUGAUGAGGCAGUCAAUUACCCGAUCGAGUUUCUGAAUUCACUUGACUUGCCAGGCAUGCCACCUCACAUGUUGGUAUUAAAAGUUGGUGUUCCAAUAAUUCUUUUAAGAAACAUCUGCCCACCAAGGCUUUGUAAUGGAACCAGAAUGUCAGUAAAAAGAUUGAUGAAUAAUGUUCUAGAAGCUACCAUUCUGAUCGGAAAAUAUAAAGGUCAAGAUGUCCUUCUACCGAGAAUUCCUAUGAUUCCGACAGAUAUUCCGUUUGAAUUCAAACGUUUACAGUUUCCGGUGAGACUGGCAUUCGGAAUGACUGUAAAUAAAGCGCAGGGGCAAUCCCUAAAAGUUUGUGGAUUAAAUUUAGAAAAUCCAUGCUUUUCUCACGGUCAACUGUAUGUUGCUUGCUCCCGAGUUGGGAAUCCUUGCAAUUUGUUUGUUUUUACCCCAAAUGGUAAAACGAGAAAUGUAACUUAUUCUGAAGCACUACAAUAGUUGCAACAUUCAUCGGAACAAAUUUUUUUUCGAAAAAAUGGAAAACUUAAGAAGUGCGUUUCAUAUUACCAAAACAAACGAGGAUAUUCAAAUCUUAUGAUAUUUCUUUUUUUUAUAAAUACUUAACUGUAAGAAAACAUUCACCGAACUGUAUAUUAUCCAUGG